GACGAGGGGUCCUAGCGUUGUUCGGAAUCACUGGGCGUAAAGCGUAUGUAGGCGGCUCUCUAAGUCGGUCGUGAAAUCCCAUGGCUUAACCAUGGAAUUGCGUUCGAAACUGGAGAGCUUGAGUGUGGGAGAGAUUGGUAGAAUACCUGGUGUAGUGGUGAAAUACGUAGAUAUCAGGUGGAAUACCGGUGGCGAAGGCGGCCAAUUGGCCCAACACUGACGCUGAGAUACGAAAGCGUGGGGAGCGAACCGG
rnacentral:rRNA from 1 species